CACAAUUGCCAAGACGUCGUCCAUGAUCACAGAGACAUUGGUCCAUGAUUGGAGCGGCAUUGUUGAGGAUGAGGGAGACAUCGUCCACGAUCAGAGAUGUUGUCCACGAUCGCACAGACCUUGUCAAAGAUGAGAGAGACGUUGUCCAUGAUCAGAGACAUUGUCCCAUGCUUCGUAGAGACCUUGCGAUAGAAUCGGCGGAGACGGGGGUCACCGAUUUGAUGGCAUUGCCCGCGAUCAUGGAGACAUUGUCGAUGAUCACAGAGAUACCGUCUAUGAUCUCAGAGACAUCGUCCACGAUCGUAAAGACAUUGUCCAUGAUCAUAGAGACUUUGUCCAUAUUCUCAGAGACAUUGUCCACGAUCACAAAGAUGUCGUCCACGAUCACAGAGAGUCUUCGUACAAUAAAGAAGUGCUUUGAGAACCGGGACUGAGGCCUCCAGGUGUAACCACUUUGUCCACAACAUCGUCCAUGAUCGCAGAGACUUCAUCCAUAAUCGGAGAGACAUUGCUGAAGAUGAGGGAGACAUUGUCCAUGAUUGCAGAGACAUUGUCCAUAAUUUCAGAGACAAGAAGGAGAAGCUGAAGCAGCUGAAGACCUGAAGUGGAUGAAAGAAAAGUGUUACAAAGCUGUUAAUUAGAUAAGAGACCUCCACCAUCUAACUGCUGUAAACAGUGCUGGUUUCCUGUUGUUCAAGUGAAAACACAGUUUUUCUCUAGUCAUGGGCACAUUUCCCAAAGACUUUAUUAAACACCUGUGAGAACAUUCAACAGCUUAUGACACAACUAUUUAAUAAUUGUAUCACAAGUAGUUAAAUGAUCACAAAGAUGCUUCAUAGACAUGUUAAUCUUUGGAAAAUGUGCUCA